GUGCCCCCGGGCUGGUUCCUGGUCUUUCAGGGCUCGGCACGCCCGGUCGGGUCACCUGGGCCUCGGCGCUGCGACGCUCCUCCCACUCGCGGCAGCUGUCCAGGUCGCGCCGCCACUGCCCGCAGGCCGGCCGCUCGCCGUGGACGUAGUAGUGGCGCAGGAAGUGGCCGGCGCUGUUGCAGAGCUCCCACUCGGCGCGGUAGGCCUCGCAGGGGCGCGGCGGCUGCGGGGACGGGAACGGGGGAGUGAGCGGGGGACCCGGUGCGCGCCAGCCCGUCCCGCACGGACGGACCCGGUCUCCGUCCUCCCGACCUGGCCCCGCGGGUCCCCGGGUCCCACCCUACUUACCUGCCAGCCUCCACCUUCCGCCAUGUCCCGGGACUGCCUAACCCGCCUCCCGAGCCCGCGGGCCGCCGCGUGACUGACGGGCGGAGGGACCAAUAAGCCCCGAGAUCUCACCACUAGCUCCUCGCCCACCUCCUUGAGACGCGCCACUGAACAGGACGUCCGGGUUGGCAGCCAAUAACAGUCGAGGGAGGGCGGGGCCUGGAGGCCUGUGUGGGCGGGGCCUGGAGGCUGGGGCGGAGCCGAGGCCGGUUUGGGCCGGGCAUGCCCCCAGGGUUCCCAGAGCCGGCUAGCCACGUGGCGGAGGUGAUCUCGGCGUCCGCUCGGGCCGGCGGGCGUCCGGCUGCACAUUCACGUCCAGUAGCCGUUUAUGACGGAACCACGCGGCUCGGGCAGGUUCUUUCCAGCAGCUUUAUUUUCAUAAUCUCAAAGAUCGGUUCGUUUCGUCAGCACGCACCGGAAUCAGCGCCGCCACGCCAGUCCUACGGCUGCAGUGGUCCCACCUGUGUCCCCUCGAGGGCGGGGUGACUCCCAGCCAACGUGAUCCUGCAAACAAGGCUGCCCACCCACCAAGGAGGGUGUCUACCUCUGCCAGCGACCCAAGACUCCUGAAGUGGAGGGCCAGCGACUGUCCUUCUCCAGAGAAAGCGACGAAUCUGCCUCCAGCUUCAUCCUGAGUGUGAAGAGAAAAUACCAUUUUCAGAAACUCCUUGGAAGUUUAAUAAGAAAUGCUUUAUUCUGUUGACUCGUGUACCAUCUGCCCAUUUUCCUUACUCCCACAUUCAUAAUAAGAAAUGUCUUUGAAAUAGAAA